rnacentral:rRNA from 1 species
CACGGGGGGAGCAAGCGUUGUUCGGAAUCAUUGGGCGUAAAGCGCGCGUAGGUGGCUCUGUAAGUCCGUUGUGAAAGUCAAAGGCUCAACCUUUGAAUGCCGAUGGAUACUGCAGAGCUAGAGUACGGAAGAGGCGAGUGGAAUUCCUGGUGUAGCGGUGGAAUGCGCAGAUAUCAGGAGGAACACCAAUAGCGAAGGCAGCUCGCUGGGACGUUACUGACACUAAGGCGCGAAAGCGUGGGGAGCGAACAGG